rnacentral:rRNA from 1 species
GGUGAACGCUGGCGGUAGGCCUAACACAUGCAAGUCGAACGGCAGCACAGGAGAGCUUGCUCCCUGGGUGGCGAGUGGCGGACGGGUGAGGAAUACAUCGGAAUCUACUUUUUCGUGGGGGAUAACGUAGGGAAACUUACGCUAAUACCGCAUACGACCUACGGGUGAAAGCAGGGGACCUUCGGGCCUUGCGCGAUUGAAUGAGCCGAUGUCGGAUUAGCUAGUUGGCGGGGUAAAGGCCCACCAAGGCGACGAUCCGUAGCUGGUCUGAGAGGAUGAUCAGCCACACUGGAACUGGGACACGGUCCAGACUCCUACGGGAGGCAGCAGUGGGGAAUAUUGGACAAUGGGCGCAAGCCUGAUCCAGCCAUACCGCGUGGGUGAAGAAGGCCUUCGGGUUGUAAAGCCCUUUUGUUGGGAAAGAAAUCCAGCUGGCUAAUACCCGGUUGGGAUGACGGUACCCAAAGAAUAAGCACCGGCUAACUUCGUGCCAGCCGCCGCGGUAA